rnacentral:rRNA from 1 species
UACGAAGGGGGCUAGCGUUGCUCGGAAUCACUGGGCGUAAAGGGUGCGUAGGCGGGUCUUUAAGUCAGGGGUGAAAUCCUGGAGCUCAACUCCAGAACUGCCUUUGAUACUGAAGAUCUUGAGUUCGGGAGAGGUGAGUGGAACUGCGAGUGUAGAGGUGAAAUUCGUAGAUAUUCGCAAGAACACCAGUGGCGAAGGCGGCUCACUGGCCCGAUACUGACGCUGGAGGCACGAAAGCGUGGG